GACGAACGCUGGCGGCGUGCUUAACACAUGCAAGUCGAACGGAAAGGCCCUGCUUUUGUGGGGUGCUCGAGUGGCGAACGGGUGAGUAACACGUGAGUAACCUGCCCUUGACUUUGGGAUAACUUCAGGAAACUGGGGCUCAUACCGGAUAGGAGCUCCUGCUGCAUGGUGGGGGUUAGAAAGUUUCGGCGGUUGGGUCUGGACUGGCGGCUUAUCAGCUUGUUGGUGGGGUAGUGGCUUACCAAGGCUUUGACGGGUAGCCGGCCUGAGAGGGUGACCGGCCACAUUGGGACUGAGAUACGGCCCAGACUCCUACGGGAGGCAGCAGGGGGGAAUAUUACACAAUGGGGGGAAGCCUGAUGCAGCAACGCCCCGUGCGGGAUGACGGCCUUCGGGUUGUAAACCGCUUUCGCCUGUGACGAAGAGUGAGUGACGGUAAUGGGUAAAGAAGCACCGGCUAACUACGUG
rnacentral:rRNA from 1 species